GUGGGGAAUUUUGGACAAUGGGGGCAACCCUGAUCCAGCCAUGCCGCGUGCGGGAAGAAGGCCUUCGGGUUGUAAACCGCUUUUGUCAGGGAAGAAAUCCUUUGGGUUAAUACCUCGGAGGGAUGACGGUACCUGAAGAAUAAGCACCGGCUAACUACGUGCCAGCAGCCGCGGUAAUACGUAGGGUGCGAGCGUUAAUCGGAAUUACUGGGCGUAAAGCGUGCGCAGGCGGUUUUGUAAGAUCGAUGUGAAAUCCCCGGGCUCAACCUGGGAACUGCAUUGGUGACUGCAAGGCUGGAGUGCGGCAGAGGGGGAUGGAAUUCCGCGUGUAGCAGUGAAAUGCGUAGAUAUGCGGAGGAACACCGAUGGCGAAGGCAAUCCCCUGGGCCUGCACUGACGCUCAUGUACGAAAGCGUGGGGAGCAAACAGGAUUAGAUACCCGAGUAGUCC
rnacentral:rRNA from 1 species